AAAAAAAAACCAUUCGCUUCUGGAAAAGAAGCAGAACAAAUCUCUCUCCCUUUUGCUUUACCAUCUACCCUUCUUUUCAUCUUGUCGAUGACUAACCAAGUAUGUGAAGAAUCUCUCGUCAUCGGUUGUCGCUUCUGUUCGUCGCGACCGUGUCUCCAAGCAGUGAAGAGAAGUGGCUUUUUGGGCAAUAGAGCCUCGAGUAGGGGGACGAUUCCGAGUCGGCCGGAAGAACAAUAGUAGACCUUUAGAGAGAUCUACUUAGGAGUGUCCAACACAUUGAAUGUGAUCACCAAUUUCCCAUUCUUGGUUGUUGGGGUUCUGGGUUUUGUUCUCUGUGUCCAAGGAGGCUUUUUCAAUAUUAGGUUCAAUAACUGUGCACUAUCUAUCUCUUUAUUCACGUCUUAUAGUGAUGUAAUUGGUUGGUUUUGUUUGGUAAUGGGUUUGGUUUAGUUUGCCAGGUGAAGUUUGGGGUUGGGCACUGUUCUAUGCAGGAAUUGCAGGGCUGACGUUUGGCUCUGCUUAUUAUCAUUUGAAGCCUGAUGAUAGUAGAGUGACUUGGGAUACCUUGCCGGCUAGCAUUUCAAUUUCUUUCAAGUGCUAUCAAUUUUACCUGUUCAUAUGUACCAUACUACUGUUCCCUUUUCCAGAAAUUGUCAGAAAAGAAAACACCAUGAUAUUGAUUUUUCAAAAUUUUUGACUGAUAAAAGGAAAUGUGUUCGCUCAACUAAGCCUAAUUUCGAUCAACUUAUUACUCAGAAGGGAAAUAUAUGUGUGUGCCAAUUAUUUUCCUACUUUGUUUUUUUUAGAACAACAUGAGCUAUGUUAGUAUGGUAAUCUACUAAAGGAAAAUGGGCUCUUAGGCAUUUCCCACCUUUUUUGGUUUCUCUAUGUUUGGUUCAACUAUUGAAGUAAAUUCUGGUUUGUAGAUUAUGGUCGCAUUCUCCUCGCUUUUCUCUAGUUUUAUAGUGGGUGGGAGAGAGAAUUGGCUUAAGUUGCCUAUUCACUCCUCUUCAUUGUGUUUCUUAGUACUGCCUAUGAAAGGUCAGUUUUGCACUUUAAGUUUGUAUCUUCUCCUUCGUGUUUUUUGCUAGACUCGUAUUUUGGAGGUAGCAUGAAAUCUUUUGCUAAUUGUGGUUCUUACUAGUUGGUUGCAGAGCAUGCAAUGAUAUUAGAUUGUACAUGAUGUUCCAAUUGAUUCCAUGUAUAGCAAUUCCACGAAUGACAUUUGUGUUCCCACCUAAAUAUACUCACUCAAGAUAUUGGCUUUGGGCAGUAGUUAUCUAGGAGAUGAUGCUCUCAAAUGGAAUUCAACUCAACUUUUCAGCUCAAAGAUGGUUCUGGUGCACUUAGGUGUACAAUUGACAGGAGGAUCUCAUGAGGUCUAUACUGGAGGAUGAUGAUCAAGUGUACUAGUAUCAUCUCAAUUCUCCCUAAUGAUCAAAAUUGAACCACUAGUUGUACACAUAGCUUUUUGUUUAUCUUUGAUGUGGAGUGGCAUGUCCGAAUUUGGCUUCCAUAGCUGGCUCAUUCUCCCUUCCAAUACUAUCACAGAGUCGAGUCACAAUAGGGGAAAAUAUUGACCUAUGGGUGCACCAUUUUCUGCUUCUGCUGGCAUAUAAUAUUCACAUGCAGCAGCUGCUCAUGUUUUUUUCAUUAUUCAUAUUAUUUUUUGAUGGUUUAUGGAUAUUUUUAAUGGCAUGGCACUAGAAUGAUAUCUUGUUUUGCAACAAUAUGUAUUUGUAUCAACUUUUAUUGUCCCAAGUAGAUGGGCAUGUAUUAUAGAAUGCUUUUCUUCUUUUAAUGUUGACUUGGAUGAUUGGGGGAUGCUCCCUUUUUACAUUUGAAGUUUAUAGUAUGGGUUGGAUUACUCA
rnacentral:lncRNA from 1 species